UACGGGGGGUGCAAGCGUUGUUCGGAAUUAUUGGGCGUAAAGAGCGUGUAGGCGGCUUGAUAAGUCAGAUGUGAAAGCCCCGGGCUUAACUCGGGAAGUGCAUUUGAAACUGUCUAGCUUGAGUAGGGGAGAGGGAAGCGGAAUUCCUGGUGUAGAGGUGAAAUUCGUAGAUAUCAGGAGGAACACCGGUGGCGAAGGCGGCUUCCUGGCCCUAUACUGACGCUGAGACGCUAAAGCGUGGGUAG
rnacentral:rRNA from 1 species